rnacentral:lncRNA from 1 species
GUUUCUUUGUCAAUUGUGUUCUAUUUAUUUAUAUUGUAGUCCUGUAAUGUUGUGUUGUCAUUUUAAUGUUAUAUUUCACAUGGCCGUAAAAGAGGGAGGUUUGGCAUGCCACAAAACCAGGUUCAACCCACCAUUUUUUCCUUUAAAAAUGUCUUGUACCAAGUCAGGAAUAUGGUCAUUGUUAUAUUAUAGUUCGUUUAUGUGUGUGUUACAUUUUAACGUUGUGUUUCCGUUGUGUCGUUUGUUUUCUCUUAUUUUUGAGUGUGAAUUCACAUUACUAUAAGACGUGUCACGGUACUUAUCUAUCCCAAAUUCAUGUAUUUGGUUUUGAUGUUAUAUUUG